rnacentral:lncRNA from 1 species
GUAGUUGCUUAAUAUGAAAUUUGUUUAAUGUUGAACUUGGUCAUGAGAUGUGAUAUAAAGUAAGGAAUGAAGGUUAGUGAAGGGAAAGGGAGGAACGAGAUUUAAUUGCAGAUAGGACUGGAUUCAAUUCUAAUCAAGAAAUGAAAGAUGAAGACCAGGCAGAGAUACACAUGAGAGUUUUUUUUUGUCAGAGCUGACAAAUAAAGGCCAUAUCUCUACAGGAGAGAGAGGCAGAACAGGUUUGGGUUCCGGGACUAUUAAAGGGAAGGCUCAGGAAUCAGAGCCAGAAGGGCCCUAAUGCAGGUGGUUAGGGGUUGGGUUGGUGUGAGAGAGUGGUGAGUCUUUCUCAAAAAUGCCCUUGGGCGGGAAAGCAAAACUUUUUCCUUAAAAUGGUUGUCACUUAAGAUGACCAUCCAGAUACUAAGCAAGGACUUUCUAGUUAGUUUGCAGGUUUUUUGUUUAAAUAACUGGGUGAAGGUUAAUGUGUUUUUCAUUGAUAUUAGAAUGUUAAAGGAAGAAGUAGGUGGGAAGUGAAAAAGGAACAGAAUAAGCUAGCAGUUCAGCUUUUUUUUUUUUUUUUUUUUUGAGGUGGAAUCUCACUAAGUUACUUAGGGCCUUGUUAAAUUGCUGAGGCAGGCCUUGAAUUUGUGAUCCUCCUGCCUUGGCCUUCCAAAUUGUUGAGAUUACAGGCAUGCCCCAUCAUGCCCAGAUAGCAUUCAGCUUUUGAACAUUUUGAGUUUAAGUGUCUAUGGUACAUAUGCCUGGAGAUGUCUGUUAAGCAGACAUAUAUG